rnacentral:tRNA from 1 species
UACAUUUUAGUAUAAAUUGUACAAAAAUUUUUGAUAUUUUAGGUGAUAGAUUUCUAUUAGAUGUAG